rnacentral:rRNA from 1 species
GGACUACAGGGGUUUCUAAUCCUGUUUGCUCCCCUAGCUUUCGCGCCUCAGCGUCAGGUUUGGCUCAGUAAACCGUCUUCACCACCGGUGUUCUUCCACAUAUCUACGCAUUUCACCGCUACACGUGGAAUUCCGUUUACCCUUACCAACCUCAAGUUCGAAAGUUUCAAAUGCAGCUCCGGGGUUGAGCCCCGGAAUUUCACAUCUGACUUUUCGAACCGCCUACGCGCCCUUUACGCCCAGUAAUUCCGAUCAAUGCUUGCACCCUCCGUAUUACCGCGGCUGCUGGCAC